GGCGGAAUAGCUCAGCGGUAGAGCAGUGGGAUCAUAAUCCACGUGUCGGGGGUUCGACACCCUCUUCCGCUA
rnacentral:tRNA from 1 species